rnacentral:rRNA from 1 species
GCUUAUGGCCAUACCACCCUGAACAUGCCUAAUCUCGUCUGAUCUCAAAAACUACGCAGGGUUGGCCUAGUCAGUGCUAAUACUUGGAUGGGAGAAAAGAAGGACAAAAGAAAGGCAUCAAGCAGGCAAAAGCA